GCGAGGAAGCAGGAGGAGCAGUGGCCUGGCCAUGGAAGGAAGCAGCUCCUAGACUUUAUGUUCAAGGUCUUGACAUGGGCUCAAAGUGAUUAUGGCAGAUAGCUCCUGCUGGGGACAGACAAGAGUUCAGAAAGGAUUUCAGGACUGGGAUGCUCCAGGGCCUCACUCCAUCAGGACAUGAAAAAACCAAAACCCUUUCAGGAGGAGAAAGUGGGUGUUGUGAGCCUGGGUGUGUACAAAGGAAGAGGUGAUUUUUUUUUUUUCAAUAAAAAUAGUUCAGUGUGGACAGAACUGAUUUAAGAACUAGUAUGGCUGGAGGGAAGGCCUGGUAUGGAAGUCUCCAUGAGAUAUUUGCCCUUGUUUGCUAACAUUAUUAUUAUUUUUAUUUUGUCUAGGAUCUUUUAGCCCCAAACACACCCACCACUUGGAGGGAAGCAAAAAUUCCAAAGUACACAGUUUGGGAAACACUGACCAGUAAGAAAGUCUCCAGUUUUGUGCCAGGAGACUGUGAAGAGUCUCUCAUCCUAGCUACCUGGAAGCCGGUAUUCUGCUAGCAUCCUUCAGAUGAAGAUGUAGAACACUCAGCUCCUCCUGCAUCAUGCCUGCCUGGAUGCUGCCAUGUUCCCGACUUGAUGAUACUAGAUUGAACCUCUGAACCUGUAUCUUCUCCACUUCCUUCCUUGUCCCCUCAAAGAUGUUGACUAACAUCAAGGCAACACCUUCUUUGUAGAUGAAAGAGCAGUUGGGCUGUCAGCUGCUCAAACCGUUUUGUUGUGCAACCUCGUUUGAAAACGAUGUGAGGAAGAAUAAACAACCGUGAAUGUGGAGUCAAGGAGACCUGAGGGUGAAGCCCAGCUUGGCUGCCUGCCUGCUGUGGACCUUGGACAAAUUGCAUGGCAAUUCUGGGUCCCUGGCCUCCUCUUCUGACACACCAUGACCUGGUGUAAUGUGGGACGCCCGACUUGCCUAGAAGUAAGACGCCACAACAGGAUCCUUCUGCAACACGUUUAUUGGGAGAGCAUGGACUGAGUAGGCAAAAGACCCCGAGCCCCAGAAAUGGCGCUGCUUAUAUAGGCCCACGAGUGACGUGUCCAUACCUGAUUGGUUAUGCUACCAGUACCUCAUUAAUAUGUGUCGGGCCAGGCAGUGACUCAGCAAAAAACUCUUAUGCACAUGCUUACAUUGGUUGUUUAUCCAUAAUCAUGGGUGGUGGCCAGUGGUAGCCAGCGCCAUCUUAUAAUGGUGUUUGCGGCUUCCCACAGUGUAAGGAGUUGCAUCUGUAUGAAAUCAUCUCCAUUUGGUUAUUCACUGGGGAGUCAGGGUCAGGUGGAUCCCUGGGGCUUGCUGACUGGCCUGCCUAGCUCACUGAUUAGGUACACCACUGGGGGAUCCGCUCUUAAAAUGAAGUGGGCGGUGCUUGAGGAGUGAAAUCUGAGCUGUCCUCCAGCCUCCACACACAUGCACACCACACACAAGCACUGGUCAUUUGGCCAGUGAGAUACUUCACUCCCAAGAUUUGGAUACUAGCAUAUAUUUCUAAAGUUGAACAAAUAUCCACUAAAUGGGACUUCCGAUUGAGAAUACUGGAGCCACACUGUCCAAUUUAUGACUACCAAUACUGGAUAAUCCAUUAGAAUCUAGACUUUCCAACUCAGGACUAUCAAAUACAGGAUAGUCUACCCAUAUUGGUCAAUACGUGGUCUAUUUUAUCCCAUUCACUUGGUGUGGAGUGAUGGAUGCCCGAAGUCACGCACUAAUAUUCCAAGAACAAAAAGCACACACUCACAGAUGAACUUUGUGUAGCUUAUGAAGUGUUGAAAAUAUUCAAAUUGUUUUUGACAUUUCAAGACCAAGAAGUUUAAUACAGAAACUUGGGUUUCCAGUUUACUGGACAACAUUGUCCUCAUGGGGACCCAGUUCCCAUUGUGAUGCUACUGUUUGGGGCUGAGUCUCAAGUGUCCUCUCCAGAAGUGAGUAUAUGUUUUCUCACUGUGAUGGUCACCUGGUUCCUUUGAGCAUCUGAGUGUAUGACCCCACCCCUGGUCUGUGCUAACCUAUGAAAAUCUAGGAACUAGCUAGCUUAAGCUUGUCUGGGAGAGAGCACUCAAGGAAGCCAUGACAAUGUGUGUCAUCAUACACUGACUGAGAACCAUUUAUUCAGAUAGGUUGCUCCUCCUGGCUCCUAUAUGGCAGAGUUAGCCCUUUAAAGCAGUGGUUCUCAACCUGUUCUCGACCCCGUUGGGGGUCACAUAUCAGAUAUCCUGCAUACAUACCAGAUAUUUACAUUGUGAUUCAUAACAGCAGCAAAUGUACUGUAUGAAGUAGUAAUAAAAUAAUGUUAUGGCUGGGGGUCACCACAACAUGAGGAACUGUAUUAAAAGGCUACAGCAUUAGGAAGGUUGAGGACCACUGCUCUAGAGACUGUUGGGCUUCUAGCUGGGUUUUGUGGCUGCUCGUAGGUUCCGGGUCGCAUGAUCUAACAGUCAACUCCUCACUUUGGAUGUCCUUUCUGAUCCAGAAGACAUCAGAGGCCAUACUUAGUGAAUUGAACUAGGUAUCAUGUAAGAAGUGGCGGAGAAAGCCUAGAGUCUCAGUGAAUGUGUAUUGUUGACAUCAGAUAAAGACAUGUUGUCACAGACCUCAGAAUCUCAGACCUAUGGAGAAAAUGGCAAUGUCUCCUCUAAGGGGAGAGGCUCAGAGGAAAAUGGCAAAGCCUUCCUCUGGACCAAAUGUAGAUAUUGAGAGUGUGCACAGGAAAUGUCCACUGUAGCUUUCUCUCCCUGGAUAUUUAUAGUCUGAAGACUGUUCCCCUAUAAAGACCAUUCCUACUAAGAUUAGGUAAACCUGUCUACUUGAUCCAGCUGUAUACCAUACACCCUGUCUCCUUUGUUUAUCUGUACCUACUAACCCCACUUCCUUGUUCAGCCAUAUGCACUCACCCUGCCUCUCUGUUUAUAUAAUAAAAACAUGUUUCC
rnacentral:lncRNA from 1 species